CCCAGACUCCUACGGGAGGCAGCAGUGGGGAAUAUUGCACAAUGGGGGAAACCCUGAUGCAGCGACGCCGCGUGAGUGAAGAAGUAUUUCGGUAUGUAAAGCUCUAUCAGCAGGGAAGAAAAUGACGGUACCUGACUAAGAAGCUCCGGCUAAAUACGUGCCAGCAGCCGCGGUAAUACGUAUGGAGCAAGCGUUAUCCGGAAUUACUGGGUGUAAAGGGAGCGUAGACGGAUGUGCAAGUCUGAUGUGAAAGGCGGGGGCUCAACCCCUGGACUGCAUUGGAAACUGUAAAUCUUGAGUGCCGGAGAGGUAAGCGGAAUUCCUAGUGUAGCGGUGAAAUGCGUAGAUAUUAGGAGGAACACCAGUGGCGAAGGCGGCUUACUGGACGGUAACUGACGUUGAGGCUCGAAAGCGUGGGGAGCAAACAGGAUUAGAUACCCGAGUA
rnacentral:rRNA from 1 species